ACACGUACCGGACAAACGUUAUUCGGAAUCACUGGGCUUAAAGAGUGCGUAGGCGGCCAUGAAGGUCAGGUGUGAAAUCCCACAGCUCAACUGUGGAACUGCGCUUGAAACCACAUGGCUUGAGGGAGACAGGGGUGAGCGGAACUGAUGGUGGAGCGGUGAAAUGCGUUGAUAUCAUCAGGAACACCGGUGGCGAAGGCGGCUCACUGGGUCUCUUCUGACGCUGAGGCACGAAAGCUAGGGUAGCGAACGGGAUUAGAUACCCCGGUAGUCCUAGCAGUAAACGAUGAGCACUAGUUCGAGGGGGCUACCACACCCUCUCGGACGUAGCGAAAGUGUUAAGUGCUCCGCCUGGGGAGUAUGGUCGCAAGGCUGAA
rnacentral:rRNA from 1 species